rnacentral:rRNA from 1 species
CGUGUGCUUACAAGUAGUCAGAGCCCGUUAAUGGGUGAUGGCGUGCCUUUUGUAGAAUGAACCGGCGAGUUACGAUUUGAUGCAAGGUUAAGCAGUAAAUGUGGAGCCGUAGCGAAAGCGAGUCUGAAUAGGGCGUUUAGUAUUUGGUCGUAGACCCGAAACCAGGUGAUCUACCCUUGGUCAGGUUGAAGUUCAGGUAACACUGAAUGGAGGACCGAACCGACUUACGUUGAAAAGUGAGCGGAUGAACUGAGGGUAGCGGAGAAAUUCCAAUCGAACCUGGAGAUAGCUGGUUCUCUCCGAAAUAGCUUUAGGGCUAGCCUCAAGUGAUGAUUAUUGGAGGUAGAGCACUGUUUGGACGAGGGGCCCCUCUCGGGUUACCGAAUUCAGACAAACUCCGAAUGCCAAUUAAUUUAACUUGGGAGUCAGAACAUGGGUGAUAAGGUCCGUGUUCGAAAGGGAAACAGCCCAGACCACCAGCUAAGGUCCCAAAAUAUAUGUUA